rnacentral:rRNA from 1 species
AUGGCGAUGAUGGGUCCAUCAAAAUGUUCAAGCCGGAUCGGUCUCGGAUGGUUUGGUCAGAGUUGGAAGGGUUGGAGGGCGCGGCCGUGUUUUUGGGAUAGGAAGAAUGCUUUAAUUGAUGUGCCACCUGUCGGAGAAGAUUUAUGUAACAAGGUGUUCCUACCAAACUAUAACGAGACCAACGGUGGUGGCAGGAAGCAGGCAUUCUACUCAUUCCAAGAGCAAUGCUACUACCCUUCCUUUUAUGCCAAGGAGCCCAUGAAUGCCAUAUGGUUCCAGUCAGACCUGGACGAACUUACGAUGAUUGACCAGUAG